CGAUGUGGGGUGGUGGGGCCGGGGGGAUACGGGGGGUGGGUGGGUUGUCCUGCGGCAUUGGGGGUUACGGGCUCGUAGGCGGCUUGGCAUGUGGCGGGUGAAAGCUCCGGGGUCAGCGCGUAGGGGCCACGUGAGAUGGCGAUGGCUAGAGGCCGGUGGUGGACCAUGGAAUUCCUGGUGUAGCGGUGAAAUUCGCAGAUAUCAGGCGGAACACCGGUGGCGAAGGCGGUGGUCUGGGCCGGCACUGACGCUGAGGAGCGAAAGCGUGGGGAGCGAACAGGAUUAGAUACCCGAGUAGUC
rnacentral:rRNA from 1 species